UAGGGAAUAUUGCAAAUGGGCGAAAGCCUGAUGUAGCAACGCCGCGUGUGCGAUGAAGGUCUUCGGAUUGUAAAGCACUUUUUGGAGGGAUGAGGAAGGACAGUACCUCCAGAAUAAGCCUCGGCUAACUACGUGCCAGCAGCCGCGGUAACACGUAGGAGGCAAGCGUUAUUCGGAUUUACUGGGCGUAAAGCGCGUGCAGGCGGUUUGGAAAGUUGGAUGUGGAAGCUCCUGGCUCAACUGGGAGAGGUCGUUCAAAACUUCCAGACUUGGGAGUGGUAGAGGGAGGUGGAAUUCCGGGUGUAGUGGUGAAAUGCGUAGAUAUCCGGAGGAACACCAGUGGCGAAAGCGGCCUCCUGGACCACUUCUGACGCUCAGACGCGAAAGCUAGGGCAGCAAACGG
rnacentral:rRNA from 1 species